UGAGGAAUAUUGGGCAAUGCCCGAAAGGGUGACCCAGCAACGCCGCGUGGAGGAUGAAGGUCGUAAGAUUGUAAACUCCUGUUAGAGGGGAAGAAUAACUAAGUUUGGAGCUUAGUAUGACUGUACCCUCAGAGAAAGCCCCGGCUAACUACGUGCCAGCAGCCGCGGUAAUACGUAGGGGGCAAGCGUUGUCCGGAUUUACUGGGUGUAAAGGGCGCGCAGGCGGGAUAUAAAGUCAGUGGUGAAGUCCUACAGCUUAACUGUAGAACUGCCUUUGAUACUUUUAUUCUUGAGUUCGGGAGAGAGAGACGGAAUUCCAGGUGUAGUGGUGAAAUACGUAGAUAUCUGGAAGAACACCAGUUGCGAAGGCGGUCUCUUGGUCCGAUACUGACGCUGAGGCGCGAAAGCGUGGGGAGCAAACA
rnacentral:rRNA from 1 species